rnacentral:lncRNA from 1 species
AAGAAGAAGAUGAACCUCCAGUGGAAAUUCCAGGUGGAAAAAUUGGUGGGUUUUAGAUGGUUUUUUUCUUAGCUCUUUUUGGUUUCUUGCUGUGACAAAGAUCUACAGAGAGAACCCACAAAAUGAUUUGUCACCUGUUUGUUGGGUCCAUGAAUCAUGAAAAGAAUUGGAAGCUAUAGCUUCAAUUAAUUAUCUCGGUUUCUUGUUUGACUACUUUUGAUUGGGUACUGAAAGAUGUCAUCUUUUUUCUUCCUCUUAAUACUAAACUAAGUAGUGCCAUCAAUUC